GAUGAACGCUGGCGGCGUGCCUAAUACAUGCAAGUCGAGCGAACAGAUAAGGGGCUUGCUCCUUUGACGUUAGCGGCGGACGGGUGAGUAACACGUGGGUAACCUACCUAUAAGACUGGAAUAACUCCGGGAAACCGGGGCUAAUGCAGGAUAACAUGUUGAACCGCAUGGUUCUACAGUGAAAGGCGGCUUUGCUGUCACUUAUAGAUGGACCCGCGCCGUAUUAGCUAGUUGGUGAGGUAGCGGCUCACCAAGGCAACGAUACGUAGCCGACCUGAGAGGGUGAUCGGCCACACUGGAACUGAGACACGGUCCAGACUCCUACGGGAGGCAGCAGUAGGGAAUCUUCCGCAAUGGGCGAAAGCCUGACGGAGCAACGCCGCGUGAGUGAUGAAGGUCUUCGGAUCGUAAAACUCUGUUAUUAGGGAAGAACAAAUGCGUAAGUAACUGUGCGCGUCUUGACGGUACCUAAUCAGAAAGCCACGGCUAACUACGUG
rnacentral:rRNA from 1 species